CAUCUAUGGUUUUUCUCGAGGUUCUCAAAUUUCCACGUAAGUUUUGGUUUCGUCUUUAUUGUUUUCCAUAUAGUAUCAGAGCAAAGCGACAACGAAACCCUAGAAAAAAAUUUAGGAGGAACCCACACCAAACCAGUCACUGCCACCGUGGACGUCGUCAUGGCAAAAUUAGUCCAAAUGCUUCAGAAACUUCCGAUCUACACAGUGGGACAACCCUCGCCGCCAUCCGCGCAACCCUUCGGCUAGAAUCUCUCUCAUGCGCCACCUCUGUCUGGCAUGUGGGACCACACACCUCUGCCAAUUUGUCUCACCACCCAUCCCAUUCUUUUCUACUCGCCGUUGGAUCCAACGAUCAUGCCCUUCCGAUAAUCCGCAAACUCACGCGCCUCCCAUGCCUCUGAUUAUGGACAGCCACCACAAAAAUUGUCAAAUCUGUCCAUUCGCAUGCUGCUGUCUGCCGACCCUUUGCAGCAACCCUUUAAUGGAACUGAAGGUGUCCAUAGCUGAUCAGGGGUUGAAGCGGGAGUCUUCGGCGCAUUCCAAACCAACUGAGUUGCCGAUGUAUUCCAAGAACCCGGUAAUUUCGCUUCCUAAUGUGCCUUCAAAUUAUAUAACUAACUCUGCUGCCUUUAGUGCUCAAUCCUUGACCCAUGAUAAUGAGAAGAAUAGUGGGAAACCAAUCCUCGUUUGUGAGCACUGCAAGAAACAAUAGCACACCAAGGAUCAGUGUUAGAAACUCCACGGCCGGUCUCUAAGAGAUAACAAAUGUUCCUCCAACGAGCAACAGAACUCAGGAUGUACCGAUGUUAGAGAUACUGUCAGCACCUCUCGGUCAACUAGCUCUACUAGCCGCUCUACUACUAGCCAAACCGGCCCUCUUACUCUAGGCGCCAUUGCUCAGUUAGGACUUGAGUUCGGGGAGGACGAUUGGCAUUGACUGACAUAGCAAGGGACUUUACAUCCUUAAUGAUGAUACCUCCGGUACUAGUAUCUCUAGGACUAGUUUACUGUCUUCCUAUUGUAGCAUCUCUGGACAUGACUUUAUGUUGUGGCAUUUUCGGUUGGGUCACCCGAACUUUACUUAUAUGAAAUAUUUAUUUCCCCAUCUUUUUCCUAAAA